rnacentral:rRNA from 1 species
UACGUAGGUGGCAAGCGUUAUCCGGAUUUACUGGGUGUAAAGGGCGUGUAGGCGGGACUGCAAGUCAGAUGUGAAACCCAUGGGCUCAACCCAUGGCCUGCAUUUGAAACUGUAGUUCUUGAGUGAUGGAGAGGCAGGCGGAAUUCCGUGUGUAGCGGUGAAAUGCGUAGAUAUACGGAGGAACACCAGUGGCGAAGGCGGCCUGCUGGACAUUAACUGACGCUGAGGCGCGAAAGCGUGGGGAGCUAACAGG